GAGUUUGAUCUUGGCUCAGAUUGAACGCUGGCGGCAUGCUUUACACAUGCAAGUCGAGCGGCAGCGCGGGGCAACCUGGCGGCGAGCGGCGAACGGGUGAGGAAUACAUCGGAACGUACCCGAGAGUGGGGGAUAACGCCGCGAAAAGCGGCGCUAAUACCGCAUAUUCUCUAAGGAGGAAAGUGGGGGACCUGCAAGGGCCUCACGCUCACGGAGCGGCCGAUGUCCGAUUAGCUAGUUGGUGGGGUAAAGGCUUACCAAGGCGACGAUCGGUAGCUGGUCUGAGAGGAUGAUCAGCCACACUGGGACUGAGACACGGCCCAGACUCCUACGGGAGGCAGCAGUGGGGAAUUUUGGACAAUGGGGGCAACCCUGAUCCAGCCAUGCCGCGUGCGGGAAGAAGGCC
rnacentral:rRNA from 1 species